GAUGAACGCUAGCUACAGGCUUAACACAUGCAAGUCGAGGGGUAACGAGAGGAAAGCUUGCUUUCCUUGUUGACGACCGGCGCACGGGUGAGUAACGCGUAUCCAACCUGCCCCCAACUAGGGAAUAACCUUGCGAAAGUAAGACUAAUACCCUAUAAUUUCCUCAGAUGUCAUAUGACGAGGAAUAAAGAUUUAUCGGUUGUGGAUGGGGAUGCGUCUGAUUAGCUUGUGGGCGGGGUAACGGGCCACCAAGGCAACGAUCAGUAGGGGUUCUGAGAGGAAGGUCCCCCACAUUGGAACUGAGACACGGUCCAAACUCCUACGGGAGGCAGCAGUGAGGAAUAUUGGUCAAUGGGCGGAAGCCUGAACCAGCCAAGUAGCGUGCAGGAUGACGGCCCUAUGGGUUGUAAACUGCUUUUAUACAGGAAUAAAGUUAGCCACGUGUGGUUAUUUGUAGGUACUGUAUGAAUAAGGACCGGCUAAUUCCGUGCCAGCCGCCGCGGUAA
rnacentral:rRNA from 1 species